AGUGAACGCUGGCGGUAGGCCUAACACAUGCAAGUCGAACGGCAGCACAGUAAGGCUUGCUCUCUAGGUGGCGCGUGUCGGGCGGGUGAGGGAUACACCUGAAUCUCCCCAGUCGUGGGGGAUAUCGCGGGGAAACUUACGCUCUUACACCAUACGCCCUUCGGGGGAGAAAGGAGGAUCGCUUGACCUCUCGCGCUUUUGUAUGCCCCGAUGUCGGAUUAGCUAGUUGGCGGGGUAAGGGCCCACCAAGGCGACGAUCCGUAGCUGGUCUGAGAGGAUGAUCAGCCACACUGGAACUGAGACACGGUCCAGACUCCUACGGGAGGCAGCAGUGGGGAAUAUUGGACAAUGGGCGCAAGCCUGAUCCAGCCAUACCGCGUGGGUGAAGAAGGCCUUCGGGUUGUAAAGCCCUUUUGUUGGGAAAGAAAACGUUCAGGCUAAUACCCUGGGAGGAUGACGGUACCCAAAGAAUAAGCACCGGCUAACUUCGUG
rnacentral:rRNA from 1 species